rnacentral:rRNA from 1 species
GACAGAGGCCUCGAGCGUUAGGCGGAAUCACUGGGCUUAAAGCGUGUGUAGGCGGAUCGUUAAGUGCCUUGUGAAAUCCCACGGCUUAACUGUGGAACGGCUGGGCAUACUGGCGGUCUUGAGCCAUCUAGGGGCGACUGGAACAAACGGUGGAGCGGUGAAAUGCGUAGAUAUCGGAAGGAACGCCGGUGGCGAAAGCGGCGUGCUGGGCACCUCCUGACGCUGAGGCGCGAAAGCCAGGGGAGCGAACGGG